UUCCCCGCCCUUGCUGCCGUGCCAUCAAAAUCUGCUGCCAUGGCUGCCGGAGCUCCGGGCUGAGUUUCUACCACUUGAGACCCUGCUGCCACCGUGUUCCACUGCCGUUACCGUCACCGGGGUUUUUGCUCGCGAUUGUCACUUGGGGUUACUGACGGAGCCACUGCCGGGUUGAUAGGGAGCUGCGACUGCUUCGUUUUGUGAUUUCAGAGUUAGAAUCCGGUUUGCUUAUGCCACUUGUAGCGGUUUCUGCUUUCGAGAGAGCAAGCCGAGUCGGGUUCUGAUUGUC